rnacentral:rRNA from 1 species
UACGGAGGGUGCAAUCGUUGUCCGGAAUCACUGGGCGUAAAGGGCGCGUAGGCGGCUCGGUAAGUAGGGGGUGAGAUCCUGCGGCUUAACCGCAGGGCUGCCUUCUAAACUGUCGAGCUUGAGCACGGUAGAGGCAGAUGGAAUUCCCGGUGUAGCGGUGAAAUGCGUAGAGAUCGGGAGGAACACCAGUGGCGAAGGCGGCCAUCUGGAUCAACACUGACGCUGAGGCACGAAAGCGUGGGGAUCAAACAGG